rnacentral:rRNA from 1 species
AGCGUAGGUGGCUUGAUAAGUCAGAUGUGAAAUCCCCGGGCUUAACCUGGGAACUGCAUCUGAUACUGUUGGGCUAGAGUAGGUGAGAGGGAGGUAGAAUUUCAGGUGUAGCGGUGAAAUGCGUAGAGAUCUGAAGGAAUACCAAUGGCGAAGGCAGCCUCCUGGCAUCAUACUGACACUGAGGUUCGAAAGCGUGGGUAGCAAACA